rfam:Sorghum bicolor cultivar BTx623 chromosome 8, whole genome shotgun sequence.
GUCUCUGGUGAUGAUCAAAAUGCAUACUUUCGUUCUUCCGAUGCGCUUUCUCAUUGCGCACUGCGGAACUCUCGAGACCUGAACUGAAGGGAC